AUGGGGGCAACCCUGAUCCAGCCAUGCCGCGUGUGUGAAGAAGGCUUUCGGGUUGUAAAGCACUUUCAGUGAGGAGGAAGGCUCUGAAGUUAAUACCUUCAGGGAUUGACGUUACUCACAGAAGAAGCACCGGCUAACUCCGUGCCAGCAGCCGCGGUAAUACGGAGGGUGCAAGCGUUAAUCGGAAUUACUGGGCGUAAAGCGCGCGUAGGUGGUUAGGUAAGCGAGAUGUGAAAGCCCCGGGCUUAACCUGGGAACGGCAUUUCGAACUGUCUGACUAGAGUGUGGUAGAGGGUAGUGGAAUUUCCUGUGUAGCGGUGAAAUGCGUAGAUAUAGGAAGGAACACCAGUGGCGAAGGCGGCUACCUGGACCAACACUGACACUGAGGUGCGAAAGCGUGGGGAGCAAACARRAUUAGAUACCCUGGUAGUCCACGCCGUAAACGAUGUCAACUAGCCGUUGGGACUCUUGAAGUCUUAGUGGCGCAGCUAACGCACUAAGUGACCGCCUGGAKACGCCKMU
rnacentral:rRNA from 1 species